CCUACGGGAGGCAGCAGUGGGGAAUAUUGGACAAUGGGGGGAACCCUGAUCCAGCCAUGCCGCGUGUGUGAAGAAGGCCCUCGGGUUGUAAAGCACUUUCAGUGAGGAAGAACGCCUGGUGGUUAAUACCCAUCAGGAAAGACAUCACUCACAGCAGAAGCACCGGCUAACUCCGUGCCAGCAGCCGCGGUAAUACGGAGGGUGCGAGCGUUAAUCGGAAUUACUGGGCGUAAAGCGCGCGUAGGUGGCUUGAUAAGCCGGUUGUGAAAGCCCCGGGCUCAACCUGGGAACGGCAUCCGGAACUGUCAAGCUAGAGUGCAGGAGAGGAAGGUAGAAUUCCCGGUGUAGCGGUGAAAUGCGUAGAGAUCGGGAGGAAUACCAGUGGCGAAGGCGGCCUUCUGGACUGACACUGACACUGAGGUGCGAAAGCGUGGGUAGCAAACAGGAUUAGAUACCCCAGUAGUC
rnacentral:rRNA from 1 species